GCAGAAUUAAGGGAAAGCCAUGUGACUCCGAGCCGAUGAGAUGUUCUCGGCCCCGCGAGCGAUGACAUUCCCGCGUCACGAUGCUGCCGUUGAGAUGCGUGACCCCUUCCCCUACUGCAAACGGCCACUUCCUAGAGUGUCACUACACAACCACUGACACCAGAACGGCAUACCGAUCAGGGCAACGCCGAACACGAACCGCUCUCUCAUGUUCUAUGCAUCUGCAUGUGGAUAAAAUUUGAUUGGCUGGCUGAUUUCGUUUUUUUUUUUUCUUUUCUUACACUAAGUCUGUGUAUUUGCGCAGCUCUGUGUUGGGACGUUGUUGCAUCAUGUUUUCACUGCAGGGCCCCGGCUGCAGAAAGUCUCUUCCCCAUUGCUGCGUAUUUCUGAUCAUCACCAUCAUCGCCACCAACACCACCAUCUCCCCGUAUAUUAGGGAGGAGCAGCAGUUAGAGUCAUUCAGAGGAGCCGCCCUGCACCACGGUAAAUCACAGCGGCGGCGACGGGUGUAAUAGCCAAGGGGGAGCAGCAGAGGACGCAAAGAGCGCCGGAGCCGCCGCCGUAGCUGCGCUUUCCGAGGGAGGCGCAACAUCCCUGCACCGCACCGCCAACAGCUGGAAGAGCUGCAGUGCAAGAGCCCUCCAGAGAAAAUGUAUUUUAAAAAAGAAGCAAACACCCACAAAUGAAAAAGCUGCUGGAAAGCAAUUUAUUGUGGAAGCACAAUUAAGGCACA
rnacentral:lncRNA from 1 species